rnacentral:rRNA from 1 species
UACGGGGGGGCAAGCGUUGUUCGGAAUUACUGGGCGUAAAGGGCGCGUAGGCGGUCUGUUAAGUUCGGUGUGAAAGCCCCCGGCUCACCUGGGGAACUGCGCCGGAAACCGACAGACUCGAGUACCGGAGAGGAGGGUGGAAUUCCUGGUGUAGCGGUGAAAUGCGUAGAUAUCAGGAGGAACACCGGUGGCGAAGGCGGCCCUCUGGACGGAUACUGACGCUGAGGCGCGAAAGCCAGGGGAGCGAACGGG